rnacentral:rRNA from 1 species
UACGUAGGGGGCAAGCGUUGUCCGGAUUUAUUGGGCGUAAAGAGCGUGUAGGCGGCUUUGCAAGUCCGUUGUGAAAACUCGAGGCUCAACCUCGAGACGCCGGUGGAAACUGCAAAGCUAGAGUCCGGAAGAGGAGAGUGGAAUUCCUGGUGUAGCGGUGAAAUGCGCAGAUAUCAGGAAGAACACCCGUGGCGAAGGCGGCUCUCUGGGACGGUACUGACGCUGAGGCGCGAAAGCGUGGGGAGCAAACAGG